GGGAAAACUCAUCAGAAACCCUGUCAUUGGAUUUUGAAAUCAAACAUGACUCUUCCAUCUCUAUAAGUUGCCUUCUGUUACAAAACCCUCUCGCUUUCACGAAACCCUCUCGCCUUCACGAAACCCUCUACCACGAAACACUCUCGCCUUCACUCACUCUCGUGCGCCCUAAACCUAACCCUUACUCUUGCACCCUUCACUCACUCUCGCGCGCCCUAAACCUAACCCUUACUCUUGCGCCCUUCACUCACUCUCGCCGCCUCCUUGCAAGGAUUUGAAACUUUUGUCUGCCAUUGUUGGUUCAGGUUUGUGUUGUAUAACCUUGUAUUUGAAAUCUAUUGUUGCAUUGCCUUUGCCAUGUGCAAUCCAUUGUGGUUCUUAAUUGUGAAAUCUAUUGUGAACAAAUAUUGUGUAUGGCUUGAACGAAGCCUUCCACGUCAAAUCGUAUUCGUCGUCGCAAAGGUUGGUCCUUCGUUCCCUUUCCCAACUUCACUGAGUUGUUUUGUUUAACCUAUUUUGUGUAAAUUUGGUUAGUUAAUUUGAUUACUUGUGUGAUAAUCUUGGCUGGAAAUCGUGGAUGGUAGUGUGUAUUACUUGGGAAAAACUAAGUUAUUUUCUUCUUUUUCUUUUGGNNNNN
rnacentral:lncRNA from 1 species